CCAUUGUGAGAAAAACACUGCUGGCAUAUAAGGGCGUACCUAGAAAACAUGAACACUAUAUAAUUACAUACCUUUAAGCAGUAACACACUGAAGUAGGAGAUGCAUUUUACCAUAGAUACUGACUAACAGCUUAGGCAUUUACUCUCAAGA